GCUGUGGCUCAUUGGUAGAGCAUCUGCUUUGCAUGCAGGAGGUCCCUUGGGGUCAGACUCUGGCAUCUCCA